GAUGAACGCUAGCGGGAGGCCUAACACAUGCAAGCCGAGCGGUAUUGUUUCUUCGGAAAUGAGAGAGCGGCGUACGGGUGCGUAACACGUGUGCAACCUGCCUUUAUCUGGGGGAUAACCUUUCGAAAGGAAGAUUAAUACUCCAUAAUAUAUUGAACGGCAUCGUUUAAUAUUGAAAGCUCCGGCGGAUAGAGAUGGGCACGCGCAAGAUUAGCUAGUUGGUGAGGUAACGGCUCACCAAGGCGAUGAUCUUUAGGGGGCCUGAGAGGGUGAUCCCCCACACUGGUACUGAGACACGGACCAGACUCCUACGGGAGGCAGCAGUGAGGAAUAUUGGUCAAUGGGUGCAAGCCUGAACCAGCCAUCCCGCGUGAAGGACGACUGCCCUAUGGGUUGUAAACUUCUUUUGUAUAGGGAUAAACCUACCCUCGUGAGGGUAGCUGAAGGUACUAUACGAAUAAGCACCGGCUAACUCCGUGCCAGCCGCCGCAGAAAUAC
rnacentral:rRNA from 1 species